rnacentral:lncRNA from 1 species
GACAUAAUUCCAGAAAUCUCCGGACCUUCGGAAAUUUCUGAAGGUUUCUCCGAAAGAUUCCGCACAUCCGGAAUUUUACGAAGGUUCCUCCGAAUUUUUCUGCACAGAGGUGUUGGUUUUCAAAGUUUGUCUUUCGAAGGUUGUUUGAAGUCUUUCUUGCUUCCACUAUUCUCAAACUGGGUUCCUAGUAUCAUUCCUAGGUCCAUUAGCUUGUGCAUAACUAAGUGGAGUUGAUUUUGCUAGAAGAAAGGCUUGUGGGAUUUAGCCGAAGUUCUUGGAGAAAAUUUGAAUCGGCUCCCAUUCAC